CACACCGUUGUCUUGUAGAAGAAAGGAUAAACUGAAGUCGAAAAAUUUAAAGACGAAGAUGGGGAGAAAAUUAAAGCGAAGACGAGAAGAAAGCAAUAUAGCAGAGAGCAUUAGAUGGUUAGCAGAAGUAGUACUGAGGUCGGAACAAGCUCGAAUGGAGACUAUGAGUGAGUUGGAGAGAAUAAGAGCUGAAGCUGAUGCUAAGAGAGGAGAAAUCGAUCUUAAAAGGACUGAGAUUAUUGCGAAUACUCAACUGGAAAUUGCUAAGAUCUUUGCGGGAAUUGGAAGAAGUUGACAAGUUAAUUAUUAGUAGGAAUUAUUACUUAAGAAAAUGUAUUAAGGAAUUGUGAUCGCAUGGCUCAAGAUUUGAUCAUAUGAUAAUUAAAAAAAAAAAAAUGAAAAAAAAGAUCUUGAUUUGAAUGUUAACACUAAUCAAGAAAAGAAAUAAGAAUGAUUGAAAUAGCCUGCGUUAUAGGGGAAGAUUAGCAAAGCGAGAAAAGACAGAGGGAGGGGGUAAGAGUUAUCUUAUACACUAUACGAUUACGAAACUGUUAGAGGCGCCCCUAAUAUAAAGUUGCUUGUUUGUAUAUUAUAUUGCUGCUCAAGUAUUCAACUGUUGUUAUUACAAAAUGUUUGCAGCCAAGAAUAAAUGAUGAAUUGUGCAUUGAUUGACCUUAUCUACAGUUGAUUUAAUUAAAUUCAUAGUAAACAAGAUAGGGUGGCUUGGGGAAUGGAUGGUUGGGUGGGGUACCAAAAGUAGUCUAAUUUCCCUUUGUGAAAAUUACAUAAAACCAUACGUUAAACAUUUAACAUUCUAAAACCAAGUUGAAAGUCCAACAUUUUAAAAAUCAGAUUUUUUUUUUAAAUAAAUAUAUUAUUAAUAAUUAAAAACUUCCAUUUCUCUCUCUCUCUCCACAGUCUCUUUGCCCUAAUUGAACACCACGCCCACUUUUUCACUGUACUUCCUAAUUCUCCACACUCCAAUUGCCGUUAUUGCGACGAAGCAGUGAUGUUGCCUCACCUAAUUCUCCACUCUCUAAUUACCGUUGCUACAAUGAAGCAGCGACGCUAAGGUUCGUCCACGGAGGGUGAGUCAGGGCCUAAGAUCAGGUCGAAAGGCGUAGUCGAUGGACAAUAGGUGAAUAUUCCUGUACUACCCCUUGUUGGUCCCGACGACGCUCCGCUGUGCAAAGCAGCAACGCUGUUAAAGAUCUCAAGGCACUCAGCGUAGUUCAAGCAGGGAUGUCGGAUCAUACGGUGUGGAUUGGAGCAUUGAUUUGCUGGAUCACGGUGGAGCAGCCUUGUUUUUUCCCAUGGCGUAUGUGUGGCAGUAGGCGUUCAUUUCUAUAGUUGUCUACGUUUUUCCUAAAUUUUGUUUUGACCGAUGUAGAUUUAGGGCUUAGAUGUUGGGUGAUUUGGUGAAUUGUAUUUAGAUCUUAGGUUUUUAUUGGUGGUGGUAGUGGAGUGAUGGAGUGGUCGCUGGUGAGAUGGUGGUCGUGGCGGUG
rnacentral:lncRNA from 1 species